UACGAAGGGGGCUAGCGUUGCUCGGAAUCACUGGGCGUAAAGGGUGCGUAGGCGGGAUCUUAAGUCAGAGGUGAAAGCCUGGAGCUCAACUCCAGAACUGCCUUUGAUACUGGGAUUCUUGAGUUCGGGAGAGGUGAGCGGAACUGCGAGUGUAGAGGUGAAAUUCGUAGAUAUUCGCAAGAACACCAGUGGCGAAGGCGGCUCACUGGCCCGAUACUGACGCUGAGGCACGAAAGCGUGGGUAGCA
rnacentral:rRNA from 1 species